GACGAACGCUGGCGGCGUGCUUGACACAUGCAAGUCGAACCAUAAAGCCUGAGCUUGCUGCGGUGGAAUAGUGCCGAACGGGUGAGUAACACGUUAGCAAUCUUCCCUUGACUCUUGCAUAACUGCGGUAAACCGUAGCUAAUACCCGAUAAGACACCAUGGGGCAUCCCCGGGCGUCGAAAGAAUUUCGGUCAAGGAUGAGCUCGCGGCCUAUCAGCUAUGUGGUGAGGUAAUGGCUCACCAAGGCGACGACGGGUAGCCGGCCUGAGAGGGUGACCGGCCACACUGGAACUGAGACCCGGUACAGACUCCUACGGGAGGCAGCAGUGGGGAAUAUUGCACAAUGGGCGAAAGCCUGAUGCAGCAACGGCGCGUGAGGGAUGAAGGCCUUCGGGUUGUAAACCUCUUUUAGCAGGGAAGAAGCGAAAGUGACGGUACCUGCAGAAAAAGCACCGGCUAACUACGUGCCAGCCGCCGCCGUAA
rnacentral:rRNA from 1 species